rnacentral:lncRNA from 1 species
UUGAGCACUUCUGGUCCCUGCUGGCAGCACUGAGGCAGGAGGGAAGAGGAGGAGCAAAACUUACUCUCAAACUCCAGGAAGAAGAAAUGGGUUUACAGAGAAGGAUUUAUUCUUAUUUUAAGACACUUUAGUAGUCUUUGAUAACUGAAGAUCAUUUCUGGCAGAUUAUAUAAGGGAAGAUGCUUCAUCUCAAGAUCAUUUUUCCAGCAGAUUUAGAACCCUACUACAACGACAUCCUUCUCCCUCUCAACAGCCAUUGGCACGGUAAGCCUGUAUAUACAGGUAGAACAAUGCUGUGGUAAGGCUUUAAGGGAAAAAAAUGCACUGCUUAGCAGGUAAUGCACAUAAGGGGAAAGGUUUUUACCCUGGCCAAAAAUAGAUGUACUUGCAGUUUCACCACUGCCAAAUCAAAGUAAUGACUAUGGUUAAUGGAAUCAGGAUGCUGUCAUAUUGCUCUUUGUUUUCCAGCUCUUUAGGGUAGUGGGACAACAUAUAUAGUGUGACAAACUUUGGAAAUGGCUAGUAGUAGAUAAGUAUGCAAAACAAGGACAAAAACCCAUAACCCAAAACCACCAAGGAGAGAAUUCUGUGAACAUCUGGGUCUACAAAAACCAUUCCACCUUGUCACUGGGAUCCAUUCCAAAAGAGUUUUUUGUUAACUGGUCAAAAUGGAUUAAGUACUCCAACUGGAGAAAAAAAGUUUGAUUCUGAAUCAUCAAAGCAGUGUGUUCUUUCCAUACAGUACGUUCUUCAUGAAUGUUGAACAGCAGCAUGCUUCAUAGCAUUUAUUUACUAUACUGAAGUGAUUUCCAGGUGAGUUGUAGUAUUUACUUUACCAUAUUCCCUGCUCUUUAUAUACUGAGCUGAAAAAAUGGCUAUUU